rnacentral:lncRNA from 1 species
UCAAGAAAUAUGGCCUGGGGGGGUCAGGGUAGGGAAGAGAGCUUUCCAUUUGAAAUAAAGCAGUUAAGCUUAGGAAUGUAGGUAUAUUAGGGAAAUGGCUAGAGGACUGCCUUUGCUGCCCCUCAGGAAGGCUUUGUUAACAUCUUUAUCAUUGUACUUCUCCAUCCAUCUUCUUCCGCAUCAUCUGGGUACAACUUGCGUACAGAGAAUAUGGCUUAUUUCUUUACAAUCCUAAGUCCUAGCACAGGAUAGCAGCUCCAUCACUGAUAACCAUUGAGUCAGUCGUUUAGUGCAUGGAACAGGACAGUAAGAAUUCUGGAGAAGUGGCUUGCAGCCCCCAUCAUGUUCACCUGUGAUCAGAGCUAAGCUGAACGGAUAGGUUAGGUUCACCUUCUGUGAAUGCCGUAUGCAACACUCUG